GAUGAACGCUGGCGGCGUGCCUAAUACAUGCAAGUCGAGCGAACGGACGAGAAGCUUGCUUCUCUGAUGUUAGCGGCGGACGGGUGAGUAACACGUGGAUAACCUACCUAUAAGACUGGGAUAACUUCGGGAAACCGGAGCUAAUACCGGAUAAUAUUUUGAACCGCAUGGUUCAAAAGUGAAAGACGGUCUUGCUGUCACUUAUAGAUGGAUCCGCGCUGCAUUAGCUAGUUGGUAAGGUAACGGCUUACCAAGGCAACGAUGCAUAGCCGACCUGAGAGGGUGAUCAGCCACACUGGAACUGAGACACGGUCCAGACUCCUACGGGAGGCAGCAGUAGGGAAUCUUCCGCAAUGGGCGAAAGCCUGACGGAGCAACGCCGCGUGAGUGAUGAAGGUCUUCGGAUCGUAAAACUCUGUUAUUAGGGAAGAACAUAUGUGUAAGUAACUGUGCACAUCUUGACGGUACCUAAUCAGAAAGCCACGGCUAACUACGUG
rnacentral:rRNA from 1 species